ensembl:snRNA U2 U2 spliceosomal RNA
AUCGCUUCUCGGCCUUUUGGCUAAGAUCAAGUGUAGUAACUCUACCUGUCAAAAAAAAAUUCUACAAAGCUGUAUUAAUUAAUGCAACAGAGUAGUAGGGAAAUGAUUGGCAUAUAGAUUGGAUGUAACUUACAGCCCAUAUGAAAACCCUUAUAUUUAUGAUUAAUUGAUUUUUCAAGGAUGU